GAACACUGGCCACAUACACAGCACCAGGAGAGGGUGUGGGAAGGUGCGCAGGGCCCUCGAGGUUCGCCAGGGCAGGCUGAGAAGCGAGGCAAGGCCUGGGGAUAGAACAGAGCACCUCAAAGGACUACCAGUGUUCCAGGGAACAGACACUGGAGAAGGAUGACCCAGGACCCAAGGCCAUACCCCACAGCACAGCUUCUCAGCACUCAAGUUACCUGGACAAACAGGAUAAAACCGCCAACAAAGAUCAAAGCCAUGGGCAGCGGAGAUGUUUCCAACAACGACCUAGAGACCUCAGAGCCCUAAACAAGCAGUAUGUCGCCAGGUCACCCACCCGAUCACAUCUAAAAUGCAUCAGCUUCAAAAACCUAACUAAAGCACUUGCUCAUCUAAUGACCGUCAGCAGCGGGGAGAGGGUGAGAGCUGAGACAAGCAGAACCUGAUCCUGCCCAACUCCAGUGACUGGACUCUGACCACAGCCGCCCUGUGUCUUUCCUCUGCCCGCCACUGUGACCUCGGGCAGGCGGGAGGAGGGGAGUGAAGAGUAAUGCAGCAGGUGGGUCCAGGGCACAUCUGCUAUAACGUCACCGCUUCCCUUAGCUGGGGACCGCAUGAGACAGACACAUCCAUCUUGGGCCAAGGGUUUAAAUGAAAAUCGGUACGUGGAAAAAGAUGCUUCCACAACUGGCCCAUUCUCAAGCUUACAUCACGCAAGAGGAGACAAGCAGUUUACUUAAACCAAGGCUGUCUGUACCUGGGACAGUCAUCGGCAGGGGCCUGACGAGGUCCGGGUGCCUCAGUGGGUUCCCAGGGUACACAAACCACUCCUUCACCGCAGGGCAGCUGCUGAUGCCAUCUGCAGAAACACAGCAGGGUUAGUAGAGGCACAAGAGGAGACAGUAGAGAACUGUGUGGGGUAAUAAAAAGGGGAUAUUAAAAA